ensembl:miRNA
UAUUAGGUUGGUGCAAAAGUAAUUGCAGUUUUUGACUUUACUUUUAAUCUGAAAAACUGCUAUUACUUUUGCACUAACAUAAUA